GCCGCAAGGCUAAAACUCAAAGGAAUUGACGGGGGCCCGCACAAGCGGCGGAGCAUGCGGCUUAAUUCGAUGCAACGCGAAGAACCUUACCUAGGCUUGACAUAUACCGAAAACUCAUAGAGAUAUGGGGUCCGCAAGGGCGGUAUACAGGUGGUGCAUGGUUGUCGUCAGCUCGUGUCGUGAGAUGUUGGGUUAAGUCCCGCAACGAGCGCAACCCUCGUCCUAUGUUGCCAGCGGAUAAUGCCGGGGACUCAUAGGAGACUGCCGGGGUCAACUCGGAGGAAGGUGGGGAUGACGUCAAAUCAUCAUGCCCCUUAUGUCUAGGGCUGCACGCAUGCUACAAUGGUCGGUACAAAGGGCUGCGAUACCGCGAGGUGGAGCGAAUCCCAAAAAGCCGGCCUCAGUUCGGAUUGGGGUCUGCAACUCGACCCCAUGAAGUCGGAGUCGCUAGUAAUCGCAGAUCAGCAACGCUGCGGUGAAUACGUUCCCGGGCCUUGUACACACCGCCCGUCACGUCACGAAAGUCGGUAACACCCGAAGCCGGUGGCCUAACCCUUGUGGAAGGAGCCGUCGAAGGUGGGAUCGGCGAUUGGGACGAAGUCGUAACAAGGUAACC
rnacentral:rRNA from 1 species